UUUGCUCGGACAUCAUAAGGGAGUAUCUUUUAGUUUUCUUACUGGAUCCUAGUCCUAGUUGAGUUCGAGGAGAUUUAUGUUUUUUCUGGUGCGAAGAGUCAGAAGAUAAAAGUUGAGUACCCUUUAACUUUGUUUCUGCAGGGACCAAAUCAGUGGUUCUGGGAGUUAUUUCGGCAGGUACUGGUGGGAUGACAGAGGAAGGGAUGGGAAACUCAGGAGCAGGACCUGUUGGAGGCGGAGCUCGAAGAGGGAGGUGAAGAGAUGGGGGAGUUUCAGAUCUAUUUCAAUGCGAAUUCUCCCAGAUGUAUCGUGUUUAACUUCUAACACACUGCCCAUUUGUUGUACUGCUCUACUUAAGAGUGGUGGAGUGUUCCAUUCCAGAGGGUCACAAGUUAACCAGAUGACCCGAGAACAACCAGGGGGUUCCAUCUAAUGUUCUGCGUUUUUCAGAUUCAGAACGAAAUUUGAAGAUAUAGAUCCCACCAUCCCGAGAAGAGAUAUCAACAUGAUCCACCCGCCAGGCCUUCGUCAUUGCAACUUGAAAAGCAGACCUCCAAUUCUUGUUCCGCACAGAGCCGUCCAAGUCGGUGACACAAUGAAGCGAUACGAGAGGAAUCAUCAUUCUCUUCCGUAGCCAUGAAGGAAAUGGUAAGCAAGAGGAAGAUUAGCGAAGAGGGACUCAGACCAGAACAACAAGUUUCAAGGGUUGCAUGUGAAGGAUCGGCGACAUGCAGAACGAAAAAACGGAGAAUUUGAGUGGAGACGGUUGAAAAAGAAGCAUCCGAAAGCUAAGAUGAUAGAAAGUGAAGCAGAGAGAAGAUGAAGAUGGUCGAAGAGAAGGCAAAGUUGUUUUGUGGGGAAUCUGGAAAAAGAGGAAGUAGGAGAAACUCGAACAUAGCGCGAGAGAGAAACUCGAACAUAGCGCGAGAGAG